rnacentral:rRNA from 1 species
GACGAACGCUGGCGGCGUGCCUAAUACAUGCAAGUAGAACGCAGUUGCGAACGGGGGAGUAACGCGUAGGUAACUGCCCCAUAGCGGGGGAUAACUAUUGGGAACGAUAGCUAAUACCGCAUACGGGGAGAUGGACCUGCUUUGUAUUGGCUAGUUGGUGAGGUAAAGGGUCACGAAGGCGACGAGAGUUAGCCGAGCUGAGAGGGGGAUAGGUGAAACUGGGACAGAGUCAGGGCCCAGACUGCUACAGGAGGCAGCGGUAGGGAGUCUUCGGGAAUGGACGGCAGUGUGAGCGAGCCACACCGGGUGAGGGCGGAGGGGUUUCGGAUGCUUAAGGUCUGUUGUCAGAGUUGCGGUAACUAACCAGAAAGGGACGGCUAACUACGUGCCAGCAGCCGCGGUAAUAC